rnacentral:rRNA from 1 species
GAUGAACGCUGGCGGCGUGCCUAAUACAUGCAAGUCGAGCGGACAGACGCUGCUCUUGCUCCUCUCUCGAUAGCCGAGCAGGGGAGUAUCACGCGUGGAUACUGUCCCUGUCUGUGUGAUAUCACCACGAGACAGCGGCUCUUAUAGGAUAUAAUCUCUUGCACCGCGUGGGUCGAUGGUGAAAUUCGGCGGUGGGGGCUGGACUCGCGGCUUACCAGCUUGUUGGUGGGGUAGUGGCUGACCAAGCCUUUGACGGGUAGCCGGCCUGAGAGGGUUACCGGCCACAUUGGGACUGAGAUACGGCCCAGACUCCUACGGGAGGCAGAAGUGGGGAAUAUUGCACAAUGGGCGGAAGCCUGAUGCAGCAACGCCGCGUGCGGGAUGACGGCCUACGGGUUGUAAACCGAUUUCGCCUGUGACGAAGCGUGAGUGACGGUAAUGGGUAAAGAAGCAACGGCUAACUACGUG